UACGAAGGGUGCAAACGUUGCUCGGAAUCAUUGGGCGUAAAGCGCACGUAGGCGCCCUUGUAAGUCGGAUGUGAAAUCCCACGGCUCAACCGUGGACGUGCAUUCGAAACUGCUCGGCUCGAGUAUGGAAGAGGGUCGCGGAAUUCCCGGUGUAGAGGUGAAAUUCGUAGAUAUCGGGAGGAACACCAGUGGCGAAGGCGGCGACCUGGGCCAAUACUGACGCUGAGGUGCGAAAGCGUGGGGAGCAAACAGG
rnacentral:rRNA from 1 species